CAUUUAAAGAAAGCGUAAUAGCUCACUGGUCGAGUCGGCCUGCGCGGAAGAUGUAACGGGGCUAAACCAUGCACCGAAGCUGCGGCAGCGACACUAUGUGUUGUUGGGUAGGGGAGCGUUCUGUAAGCCGUUGAAGGUGGCCUGUGAGGGUUGCUGGAGGUAUCARAAGUGCGAAUGCUGACAUAAGUAACGAUAAUGCGGGUGAAAAACCCGCACGCCGGAAGACCAAGGGUUCCUGUCCAACGUUAAUCGGGGCAGGGUGAGUCGACCCCUAAGGCGAGGCCGAAAGGCGUAGUCGAUGGGAAACAGGUUAAUAUUCCUGUACUUGGUGUUACUGCGAAGGGGGGACGGAGAAGGCUAUGUUGGCCGGGCGACGGUUGUCCCGGUUUAAGCAUGUAGGCGGAUGUUCCAGGUAAAUCCGGAACGUUAYUAACGCUGAGGUGUGAUGACSAGGCACUACGGUGCUGAAGUGACAAAUGCCCUGCUUCCAGGAAAAGCCUCUAAGCAUCAGGUAACAUCAAAUCGUACCCCAAACCGACACAGGUGGUCAGGUAGAGAAUACCAAGGCGCUUGAGAGAACUCGGGUGAAGGAACUAGGCAAAAUGGUGCCGUAACUUCGGGAGAAGGCACGCUGAUGGUAAGUGAAGUGACUUGCUCAUGGAGCUGAAAUCAGUCGAAGAUACCAGCUGGCUGCAACUGUUUAUUAAAAACACAGCACUGUGCAAACACGAAAGUGGACGUAUACGGUGUGACGCCUGCCCGGUGCCGGAAGGUUAAUUGAUGGGGUUAUCCUCACGGAGAAGCUCUUGAUCGAAGCCCCGGUAAACGGCGGCC
rnacentral:rRNA from 1 species